rnacentral:rRNA from 1 species
GAUGAACGCUAGCGGCAGGCUUAAUACAUGCAAGUCAAGGGGGUAGCAAUACUACCGGCGCACGGGUGAGUAACACGUACAUAACAUACCAUAUACUGGGGUAUAGCUUUGGGAAACUGAAGGUAAUCCCCCAUAACAUUGCGAGAGGGCAUCUGAUUGCAAUUAAAGUUUCGACGGUAUAUGAUUGAUGUGCGUUUGAUUAGCUUGUUGGUAGGGUAACGGCCUACCAAGGCGACGAUCAAUAGCUGGCGUGAGAGCGCGACCAGCCACACUGGAACUGAGACACGGUCCAGACUCCUACGGGAGGCAGCAGUAGGGAAUAUUGGACAAUGGGCGAAAGCCUGAUCCAGCCAUGCCGCGUGAUAGAUGAAGGCCCUCUGGGUUGUAAAUAUCUUUUAUCUGGGAAGAAACAAUCUUAUUCUUAAGAUCUUGACGGUACCAGAGGAAUAAGCACCGGCUAACUCCGUGCCAGCAGCCGCGGUAAAGUA